AGAAUUGGAAGGGCCCUUCUGGUCUUCAGAUCCACCCUAUUCAAGCAGCACUUCAGAUUGAAGCCUCACGGGCAGCUGGCGGUCCAACCUCCUCUUGAGCACAUCCCCUGAAGGAGAGCUUAGCCUUCUGAGCAAUAUCCUUUCAGGGUGUGCUUGUGUAUAGAGUGUCUUCAUGACAGAACCAGAGAAUCGGCUUCCCUUGGAAUCCAGAAGGAAGAACAGUAGAAACAGGAGCAAUACUGAUACAAGUUGACUAUAAGCGGCUACAGGGAAUCGUCUGCUGCUCUCCCUGAAUGACCAAGACGUGAUGAGCCUCUUCCAAUAUGUAACAUCUCCAUUAGCUGACUCUGUGACAAUGCAACCACAGUGGGUGAGAGGCACCUGCAUUUUAGAGAAGUUUGUGCAAGGUGGGAAAAGACUCAGGGACUCUAAUGCAGAGGUCUCAGCCCUUUUGGACCAUGGAGGACUUUUGGAAUUUGCCUCUUUUCAAAAUGUGCUGUCAAAACUUAGAGCGUGCCUAAAUGAAUCAGCUCAUGUGGCAACAUCAGGCCUACUGAUGUAAAUGGAACAUACGGACAGAAGAAACCCAUACUCCUCACAAAUGUGGAAAGUUGUAUUUAUAGCAGACUAAUUGGGCUAGAAGCCUGCAAGUUUGCAGGCACUGCAUGAUCAAGGUUUUGAAACAUAUUGCUUGGACUAAGCACUUCUGUGCAGAGCACAGAGCAGCAAGUCCAGAAGUGCAUUUUCAAACACCUCUGCCUUCAAUUUGUUGCUAGCCAGCAGGACGCAGGCUGUGCUGUUUGGGUGGAGAGAACUGUGUAGAAACCCUUGCUCUAGGUUUAGUCUGCCAGGUUUAGUCUGCACCUGCUAAUAUUCCAAUGUCCUCCAAUGCAUGGCUUUCUGAUGGAAAUGUUGCUGGCAUACCAUGUAGACAUAGGCAGGCCCUGUUCUACCGCUGCACACUUAACAGGUGAACUACUUCCAAAAAGGGGUCCAACCUUGCUGUGCUGCUGCUUUUCUCAUACAAAUAAUUAGUUCACAGAACAGCAAAUAAUUCCUCUUCCCACCAACAUAGGGCCUUGGUAUAGUACAAGUGAGGGGGACGUGGUGGCGCAGUGGCUUAAUGAUGCUGAAAGUUGCCGUCCA